UUGUAUCAGACUGUAGUUAUUUGCAUUGUGUAUUUUAAAAAUAAAUGAUGCUAAAUUAUAUGAAUGUGUGCUUUAAAUAGAAGUGUGGGCAGGUCACAGUAGUGUCACUGUGGUGGGAGGAGAUUAUAAAAAGGGCAGGUGAGCGAUCAGUGCAGUGUGUGAGGGGGUCAGGCUGAAGCUGUUGUGCUGCCCUGCUGCUGAAAUCUGCCACAAUCCACUGCACAUGGGGAACUCCUUUGUCCUGCUGUUUGUCUGAACCUUUAAAAAGAUGUUCCAGCCCAAGGGGACUCUUUUGGCUGCAACACCUGUGGUGACAACAGAGAGGCCUCUCCAGGACUUUCACCCAAUGCUACUGAGAGAAGCACAUGGCAGCACAUGCCAGCAUCAAAACCGCACUCAAUAAAUCAAUAAAAC